CCGCGACGACCGCCCCCAACCUUCUGCCGCGGUUGGCGCCCCUCCCCAGAUCCUGCCACAGCCCCAAAACCCAACCGGCGCCGCCGCUGUCGUCCUGCACUGGAUCGACCCGCCACUAUCGCUCCGCUGUCGCGUACAGGCAGUUCAACGCCUCAACCCCAGGCCGUUCAUUGUCUUGCCGCCCGCCGGCUCCUCCAUGCAUGGACGCCUAGCUCCUGCACUAAAACCACCGUGGCCCAGGAAUUCACCCGCCCCAACCCACUGGCCCGGCUACGAAUGCCCCGCACUCCAUCCGGCGACCAGCCCUGCGUCGCGCACGCCCCUCCGACGACCGGAGACCUGCCACGCGCCCCGCACUCCAGCCGCGGCCAACUCCCUCCUGUGCUGCUCGGUUGCUCUGACCUUGCAAGCAGCCUCGCUCGCCGUAAAUGAUUUUUGUGUGUGUUAUUUGCUCAUUCCCAUUGUGCGUGUGCACUGCUUGAAGGAACGCAUGGCAAAGGACAGGUUUUUUUGUGCUUGUUGUUUGCAGGUCUUCUGAGGAUUAAAUAAAAAGCUUGCUCAAAGGAAGCAUUUCCCAUCAGUGAAUUGGCUCAUUUCCUACUGGAAUACUCGCAGGCACUCGAGUCCUACGAGAAGUUUGAUUCAGACUUCAUUGCUAUUGGAACGAAGGCGUGUGAGGUGUUGCACAUGGAGGAUGAUCUAAGUGAAAUUGUGCAGGGAGAAGGACUCAAUCAGGCACUGUAAAAGAAUUCUGAAUUAUUGUCUGUUAAACACUGCACAAAGAUUCUGCAUCCGGGAAAUGGCUAGUCAUUAUCAUGCACCUUAGCAAGGAAAUAGUAGACGGUAUGACAUGUAAAAAAGAUGCGUUGAAGUGGUUGGUGCUGCUCUCCUGAAAGAUGAUUGAUGGCUACCUCUUCCCGCUGGUGGGGCUCUAUCGCUGCAGCGCCCCGGCUGUUCACAGCCGCCACCCUCGGCCGCUCAGCAACACAGCGCUAAGCCGUUCGACGCCACAGCUGAGGAGGUCACCAUAGUCGGCAUUUUCAGUUCAUCUUGCAGAUGAUGGAGCUCCCCUUCGGUUCAUCUUGCAAGUGUGUUUUUGGGCAGUACAAAAUACAUCGCUAUAGUUAGUACAGAUGUGGCACCUUGCAGAGUACUAAAAAGACCAACUGAUUAGGAUUACUAUAAUGAACUAAUAAUAAAAUUUGAGUCCUUCAGGAUCCUCUAGUUCUGGAUGUCCACUGCCAUCCCCGUCAGCCCCUAUUUCUUCACUGUAAGGAGGCUCUCUGCUCGUCGCUCGGUUGUCCUCUAUUUGUUCUAAUUUCUGAAGAAAUUGCAAAUCAAGUUUAGUUUGAUGAUGGCUGUUGAGGAUUACAUGUGUGUGCUUUGAUUGAUUUAGUUUCCGAAUCUUGACUUGCUAAAAUGAACCUACUCUGUUUUCAAUCAAUUGUGGAGUGCAGGAAAUCCAAAACUGUCUUACUGUUUACUCCAUCAUAUCAGCUAUUUUAUUGCUAAUAAGUUUAGCUAUUUUAUCAAAAUAGGAGGCUAUAAGAUGUUGACUGUCAUUGCCCUUCCAAAGAUGUCGUUGGUGUCGAACCAUUCGCAGUGAGUUUCAGUCCAUAGGUUGCUCGUGAUCCUCACUCCUUCAGCUCUACUUCGUCGGCGCCGUCAGUCCACAGAAGUAGGGGCGGCGUGCCCGUCAACAAACAAGAACAGAAGGAAUGGAAGGCUCCCCACCCACCGAGACCAAAUACAUGCUGCUGGAGAAGGACCACUCAUAAGGAAUAUGUAUGGGAAAAGUUCACUUAAUCUGCUACUCAAGGUCAUACAUAAAAGUUGGAAGGCUGUCGUAGAGCAAGUUCUAGAUCAAAGGGUGUAAUUUCUGUUUCAAUUACUGCCAGUAUUGGAUUUUGUACUAUGGACAAAUGUAGACAACUGUGUUUCUUGUAUGUGUUGCCAUUCCAUUUUUGAUAUAUCUGCUACUCAAGUUAUUUCCUAAAA